AGAUGUGGAGGCCAAGUCCUCGUCUUGCUCCUGUCAGAGGGGCUUGAUGGGUGAUGGGCACAAAGAAACAAGCAGGAAGAGAAUGGAGAAGAAUUGAAGCUUCUUACAGAGACAUUAAUUCUCAGCGUAGGAUGGGAGCACUCUCUUUAGAGGAAUACAGAGAUUCACAGAACACAGAUUUCUCAAGGAAUUUGCACUGCAUCAUCCUACUCUCACAGAUCCAGUCAUCUCAGCUUCAAAUAUUACUCAGAAAAUGAUGCUUCAGCUCUAGAAGAAAGACAGCUCUUCUCUCCAGGUAUGCAUAUCCCCCAGUGGAUUUCCCCUGAAAACAGACUUUCAAGUUGUCUCAAGUUGUCCAACACUACUCCAAUUUUCCCAUCGCAAGAAGACUUUUUACGGUGCGCAAAUAUCUGGGGGCUGAAGAAGGCCUGGAUCCUACUCAUCAGUUGAAUUUGUG
rnacentral:lncRNA from 1 species